AUUGAACGCUGGCGGCGUGCUUAACACAUGCAAGUCGAACGAUGAAGGAGGAGCUUGCUCCUCUGGAUUAGUGGCGAACGGGUGAGUAACACGUGAGCAAUCUGCCCUUGACUCUGGGAUAAGCGCUGGAAACGGCGUCUAAUACCGGAUACGACCCUCGGAGGCAUCUCCUGUGGGUGGAAAGAACUUCGGUCAAGGAUGAGCUCGCGGCCUAUCAGCUUGUUGGUGAGGUAAUGGCUCACCAAGGCGACGACGGGUAGCCGGCCUGAGAGGGUGACCGGCCACACUGGGACUGAGACACGGCCCAGACUCCUACGGGAGGCAGCAGUGGGGAAUAUUGCACAAUGGGCGCAAGCCUGAUGCAGCAACGCCGCGUGAGGGACGACGGCCUUCGGGUUGUAAACCUCUUUUAGCAGGGAAGAAGCGAGAGUGACGGUACCUGCAGAAAAAGCACCGGCUAACUACGUGCCAGCCGCCGCGGUAAAAC
rnacentral:rRNA from 1 species